rnacentral:rRNA from 1 species
AUUGAACGCUAGCGGGAUGCUUUACACAUGCAAGUCGAACGCGUGGCGGACGGGUGAGUAAUAUAUCGGAACGUGCCCAGUAGCGGGGGAUAACUACUCGAAAGAGGGGCUAAUACCGUAUGCUAUUUGAGCGGCCGAUCUCGGAGUAGCUAGUUGGUGGGGUAAAGGCUCACCAAGGCAACGAUCCGUAGCUGGUUUGAGAGGACGACCAGCACCACUGGGCUGGAGCUACGCCCCCGACUACUACGGGAGGCAGCAGUCGGGAAGUAUAGACAACGGGGGAAACCCUUAUCCAGCCAUCCCGCGUGUAUGAGAAGGCCUUCGGGUUGUAAAGUACUGUUAGUAGAGAAACGGUAUCUGCAGAAUAAGCACCGGCUAACUACGUGCCAGCAGCCGCGGUAAUAU